rnacentral:rRNA from 1 species
CCUACGGGUGGCAGCAGUGGGGAAUAUUGGACAAUGGGGGGAACCCUGAUCCAGCCAUGCCGCGUGUGUGAAGAAGGCCCUCGGGUUGCAAAGCACUUUCAGUGAGGAAGAACGCCUGGUGGUUAAUACCCAUCAGGAAAGACAUCACUCACAGAAGAAGCACCGGCUAACUCCGUGCCAGCAGCCGCGGUAAUACGGAGGGUGCGAGCGUUAAUCGGAAUUACUGGGCGUAAAGCGCGCGUAGGUGGCUUGAUAAGCCGGUUGUGAAAGCCCCGGGCUCAACCUGGGAACGGCAUCCGGAACUGUCAAGCUAGAGUGCAGGAGAGGAAGGUAGAAUUCCCGGUGUAGCGGUGAAAUGCGUAGAGAUCGGGAGGAAUACCAGUGGCGAAGGCGGCCUUCUGGACUGACACUGACACUGAGGUGCGAAAGCGUGGGUAGCAAACAGGAUUAGAUACCCUGGUAGUC